rnacentral:lncRNA from 1 species
CUAUCAGUAAAGGUAAAAAAAAAACAGCUCACACUUACUAAGGGUUUACCAUGCAGUAGGGUUGAAAUAAGUGCUUUACAUCAAUUCAUUUAAUCCUCACAAGAAGCUCCUACUAUCUGCUUUUCACACUGAGGAAAUCAGGAGGUCAGAGGACUUGUGGAUAUCACACACCAUGUACGUAAGGCUAACAUUGAGCAAAGGUAUCUUGACUUCUCAGUCUGUGUUCUUUAUUUUAUUUAUUUAUUUAUUUGUUUGUUUAUUUAUUUAUUUAUUUUUAGGGCUGCACCCUCAGCAUAUGGAGGUUCCCAGGCUAGGGGUCAAAUCGGAGCUGCAGCUGCCAGCCUAUGCCACAGCCACAGCAACUUAAAUCCAGGCCGAGUCUGCGACCUAUACUACAGCUCACAAGGCAACACUGGAUCUUUAACUGAGGGAUCGAACCCACAUCCUCAUGGAUACUAGUCAGGUUCUUUACCUGCUGAGCCACAACGGGAACUCUUGAUUUCUUCUCUUGAUUCGUCAUAAUCACUUGGCAAAACCAUAGCUCAAAUUAGAGUUCAUUUACUUCCUUCUGGCUCCCAUGUAACUGAACAUGAAUGAAAGAAAAAUGAAAGCGUGUUAAGAGGUUUAAAUUUAGGAACACAAACCUCGUGUGAUCUCAAAAUGCUGCCAUGCAAUCAAAUUAUACUUGCUUUAAGUUUAUUUGCUUUCCCCUUUUCUUUCUUUUUUUUUUUUUUUUGUCUUUUGUCUUUUUGUCUUUUGUUGUUGUUGUUGUUGCUAUUUCUUGGGCCGCUCCCGCGGCAUAUGGAGGUUCCCAGGCUAGGGGUCCAAUCGGAGCUGUAGCCACCGGCCUACACCAGAGCCACAGCAACGCAGGAUCCGAGCCGCGUCUGCAACCUACACCACAGCUCACGGCAACGCUGGAUCGUUAACCCACUGAGCAAGGGCAGGGACCGAACCCGCAACCUCAUGGUUCCUAGUCGGAUUCAUUAACCACUGUGCCACGACAGGAACUCCUGCUUUCCCCUUUUCUUACACAAGUGUUUUAUACAGUUCUCUUCACAUACUUAGCACUUUCUACUCCCAGUCUUACUCUCCAUGAUAACUUUUCCCAUUUCCUGGAGAAAACUGAUACAACUAGAAGAGAGCUCCUGCUGCUCUACCUAUCUGCCUGUCGGCAUUUGAACUCAUGUACUCUGCUUUCUAACCUAUUGCUAUACAGAAAUUAUCCAUGCUCUCCUUUUUUUUUUUUUUUUUUUUGGCUUUUUAGGGCCAUGCCCAUGACUUAUGAAAGUUCCCAGGCUAGGGUUCAAAUCAGAGCUGUAUCUGCCAGCCUACACCACAGCCAUAGCAACAGGAUCCGAGCCACGUCUGAAACCUACAUCACAGCUCAUGGCAGUGAGGCCAGGGAUCAAACCACUGAGUGAGGCCAGGGAUCAAACCCGAAUCCUCAUGAACACUGGUCGGGUUUGUUAACCACUGAGCCACAACAGGAACUCCUCCUCACUUUUAUUUAAAUCAGCAACCCUGCUUGUGUGCUAGAUCAGGGCCUGAAGGCCAAAUACUGUUAGUUGUUUUUAUAUGCCUCAGCAACCAAGAAUGGUUUUUAUGUUUUUACUUUUUUUUCCGGCUGCCGUAAGGCAUGUGGAGUUCCUGGACCAGGGAUCCAUUCCAAGCCAGAGCAGCAACCUACACCACAGCUGUUGCAAUGUGGAGUCCCAUCCCGCUGCACCUGGCCUGGGAUCAAACCCGAGUCCUUGCCACUAAAGAGACACUGUCGAUCCUGUUGCAGUGGGAACUCUGGUUCUUAUAUUCUUAAAUGCAGGUGGAGAAUAUAACAGAGACCAUGUGUGGCCCUAAAAUACCCACUAUUUGGCCCUUUAUGGAAAAAGAUGUGUGAUUCUGUACUAAAUCCCCUCUUUAUCCACCUACUCAAUGAUAAUAAUUCAACAAUUCUCCCUUUUCUCUCCUGGAUUAACAAGUUUUGACCUGUAUACUAGAUUAUUUCCACUAUUAUUCAAGCAUUUUGUAAUUUCUUUCAUUAAAAAAAAAGUCCAAAAUCCCAUGUCAUUUCCCUUGCCAGUUACUGUGCCAUUUAUUUGCUCCUCUUUUCAACGAAGCUUCUUGAAAUACUAGUCUCUACUUGUCUCAAAUUCCUCUCUUCUAAUUCUCACUUAAACUGACUCCAAUUAAGCUUUCUCUCCUAUCACCAAAACUGCUCUUGUCAAGAUCACUAAUACCCUCCUUAUGCUAAUUCCUGUGGUUAAUCUGCAACCCUAAUAUUAGUUGACCUAACAGCAGUAUCUGACACAGUGGCCCACUCCUUCCUUUUUUUUUUUUUUUUUUUUUAGGGCCACGCCCACAGCAUACGGAAGUUCCUAGGCUAGGGGUCGAACUGGAGCUUCGGCUGCUGGCCUACACCACAGUCACAGCAAUGCCAGAUCCAAGCCACAUCUGUAAUCUACACCGCAGCUCACGGCAACACCAGAUCCUUAACCCGCUAAGCAAGGCCGGGAGAUCAAAUCCUCAUAAAUACUAGUCCGGUUCGUUACCACUGAGCCAAAAUGGGAACUCCAGACAUACGAAUUUUUCAAAAUUAUAUGAACACACACACACUAGAAUAUUAUUCAGCCUUAAAAAGGAAGGAAAUUCUGACACAUGCUACAACAUGGGUGAACAUUGUAGACGUUAUGCUAAGUGAAAUAUGCCAAUCACAGAAGGACAAAUAUUGUAUGAUUUCACUCAUAUGAAGUAGCUAUUGUAAUCAAACUUAUAGUGACAGAAAGUAGACUAGAGGUUACCAGACACUGAUAACUGUGUUUGUAGGGUACAGUAUGGGACAAUGAAAAACUUCAGGAGGUGGAUAGCGGUGGUGGUCAUAGAACAGUGUGAAUGUACUUCAUGCCACAGAAUUGUACUCGUAUCUGAUCCCUGUCAGGGGAACUUCCUAUGCCUGGGGCAGGCAAAAAAGAAAAAAAAAAAAAAAAGGCUUGAAUGAUAAAACUUUUGCUANAUGAUAAAACUUAUGCUAUGUGUGUUUCACCCCGAUUUUAAAAAACACCAUGUGAGGAAUUAUCCACAUCACUUACAGUCUCAUCAGUACCAUAAUACUGUAUGUCUCAUGUGAAACAGAUAAUCAGACAUAACAGCACAGAUGACCCCACACUACUAAGCAAUCCCUGCUCAGAAACCCACAAUAUUGGAGUUCCCGUCGUGGCACAGUGGUUAAUGAAUCCGACUAGGAACCAUGAGGUUGUAGGUUCGAUCCCUGGGCUUGCUCAGUGGGUUAAGGAUCUGGCGUUGCCAUGAGCUGUGGUGUAGGUUGCAGACGUGGCUCGGAUCCCACGUUGCUGUGGCUCUGGCGUAGGCCGGUGGCUAUAGCUCGACUGAACCCCUAGCCUGGGAACCUCCAUAUGCCGCAGAUGCGGCUCCAGAAAAAGGCAAAAAGACAAAAAAAAAGACAAAAAAAAAAAAAAAAG